AAAUUGAAGAGUUUGAUCAUGGCUCAGAUUGAACGCUGGCGGCAGGCCUAACACAUGCAAGUCGAACGGUAACAGGAAUCAGCUUGCUGAUUCGCUGACGAGUGGCGGACGGGUGAGUAAUGUCUGGGAAACUGCCUGAUGGAGGGGGAUAACUACUGGAAACGGUAGCUAAUACCGCAUAACGUCGCAAGACCAAAGAGGGGGACCUUCGGGCCUCUUGCCAUCGGAUGUGCCCAGAUGGGAUUAGCUAGUAGGUGGGGUAAAGGCUCACCUAGGCGACGAUCCCUAGCUGGUCUGAGAGGAUGACCAGCCACACUGGAACUGAGACACGGUCCAGACUCCUACGGGAGGCAGCAGUGGGGAAUAUUGCACAAUGGGCGCAAGCCUGAUGCAGCCAUGCCGCGUGUAUGAAGAAGGCCUUCGGGUUGUAAAGUACUUUCAGCGGGGAGGAAGGGAGUAAAGUUAAUACCUUUGCUCAUUGACGUUACCCGCAGAAGAAGCACCGGCUAACUCCGUGCCAGCAGCCGCGGUAAUACGGAGGGUGCAAGCGUUAAUCGGAAUUACUGGGCGUAAAGCGCACGCAGGCGGUUUGUUAAGUCAGAUGUGAAAUCCCCGGGCUCAACCUGGGAACUGCAUCUGAUACUGGCAAGCUUGAGUCUCGUAGAGGGGGUAGAAUUCCAGGUGUAGCGGUGAAAUGCGUAGAGAUCUGGAGGAAUACCGGUGGCGAAGGCGGCCCCCUGGACGAAGACUGACGCUCAGGUGCGAAAGCGUGGGGAGCAAACAGGAUUAGAUACCCUGGUAGUCCACGCCGUAAACGAUGUCGACUUGGAGGUUGUGCCCUUGAGGCGUGGCUUCCGGAGCUAACGCGUUAAGUCGACCGCCUGGGGAGUACGGCCGCAAGGUUAAAACUCAAAUGAAUUGACGGGGGCCCGCACAAGCGGUGGAGCAUGUGGUUUAAUUCGAUGCAACGCGAAGAACCUUACCUGGUCUUGACAUCCACGGAAGUUUUCAGAGAUGAGAAUGUGCCUUCGGGAACCGUGAGACAGGUGCUGCAUGGCUGUCGUCAGCUCGUGUUGUGAAAUGUUGGGUUAAGUCCCGCAACGAGCGCAACCCUUAUCCUUUGUUGCCAGCGGUCCGGCCGGGAACUCAAAGGAGACUGCCAGUGAUAAACUGGAGGAAGGUGGGGAUGACGUCAAGUCAUCAUGGCCCUUACGACCAGGGCUACACACGUGCUACAAUGGCGCAUACAAAGAGAAGCGACCUCGCGAGAGCAAGCGGACCUCAUAAAGUGCGUCGUAGUCCGGAUUGGAGUCUGCAACUCGACUCCAUGAAGUCGGAAUCGCUAGUAAUCGUGGAUCAGAAUGCCACGGUGAAUACGUUCCCGGGCCUUGUACACACCGCCCGUCACACCAUGGGAGUGGGUUGCAAAAGAAGUAGGUAGCUUAACCUUCGGGAGGGCGCUUACCACUUUGUGAUUCAUGACUGGGGUGAAGUCGUAACAAGGUAACCGUAGGGGAACCUGCGGUUGGAUCACCUCCUUA
rnacentral:rRNA from 1 species